rnacentral:lncRNA from 1 species
GGGACGGCGAUCCGGGAGUGGGGGCGCGGGGAGGAGCUGUACGAGAGCAUGGUGAGGAGGGCGAGGGCGAGCGUGAGGGACGGCGGCGGCGGCGGCGAGAUCAAGGCGCUGCUGUGGUACCAAGGCGAGAGCGACGCCUCGACGCAGCACGACGCGGAGGCGUACCAGGGGAAGAUGGAGGCGCUCAUCAAGAACGUGCGCGACGAUCUCGGCCUGCCCUCCCUUCCCGUCAUCCAGGUAAGUUCCGUCUCCGUCGUCCCCUCCGCUGAGCUCUUUCGAUCGCCAUUGUUGAACAGAGCUUAGUUCUUUCUUUCUUUCUUUCUUUCUUUUUUCUUUUUUUUUUUUGGGUCUGCUUGGCACUUGAUGGAAUUAUUUUACAAAACACCCUAGAACCAAAAUUAGAAUAGAUGCAAUCGUUAUUAUUUUAAUAGUCAAGUUAAUGAAUUAGAUGCUCCCACUAUCAUAUCAAUUAUUUUUAUAAUCUAUUUGUGAGUAGUACUCAAAGUUAUACACACUAUAUGUGGUUUUUAUAUUUUAACGGCCAAUAGUGAUAUUAUAAUUUAAUAUAUAUAAAUGUUUUUCUAUUGUUUAAUAAAAAAUUUAUGGUUUUUAUUUCAAUUUAGCGAUGUAAUGCGGGGAUUAAAAUAAUUGUUAUCAAUGCAAUCGAUACUCAAUUUACAUAGUCAUACCUAAUCGCGGUCAGUAAUGUUUUGCUAAUUAUUAUCGUAUGAAUAAUUUUUAAUAUAAUAAAAAUUGGCACAUCAUCAAGAAACUUAAUAACAAUUAUAUAAUUUAUUUACGUUUUAUUCAAUAAUUUACUUAGUGAUCAUAUAGGUGAUUAUUUCAUAUGAGUUUACACUUGGUGUUCUUAUUGCUUGAAUAAUUUAAAUAAAUUUAAUUAUGAAUAAAUUUUACUUAAUAGAGUGGGUGGGAAAAAAGGACGGAUUACGUUGUAACAACUAUUACCGCAAGUAAGCACUACACUAGGCAGCCAAUCUGUAUUAGAUCUGAAUAUAAUAGGCUUUAGUACAGCCAAACAUGUCAUAAAUUUCAAUCUCUUUGACAUGAUUUUUGUCUUUAUUUGUGUCAUGCCUGUAAUUUUUUGGAGUGGGUAGACAUGUGCGCUUGGGCCCCCCAGUAGGCAACAAAAUGAAAUGGGAACACUGCCAAAUGAAUAAAAACGAGUAGUUUUCUUGAUUCUCAUCAUCAGAAAAGAUAUGCUGGGGGAAAGAAAGUAAAUUUUACAGAUCAAUUUUAUUUGAACUAUGAUCUUGUGGGCAUAAUGAUUGAAUUCACAUGAUUAACUAUAUUGAUAUGUGAGGCUCACAUUAUCAUUGUUUAUAUAAUCUUGUUCACUUGGUGAGCAAUGAUUAUUCGAGACAAAUAUAGCACAUACGCAGCUUUACACAGGGAUUACCUUUUGGUAUUUAGACGACAUUAAUUUAUAUCAUAAGGCAUGCAAGACUUAGAUACUUCUUGAUCCAUAGGAUUCACAGGGUGGCACGCAGAAAGUAUCAUAGCACUAUCUCAUCGGACUUACAAGAUACUCCUAACUCUCUUAUGUCGUCAAGUCUCAAGGGAGGAAUAAGAGUAUCUAGAAGACUAUGGGAGAGUGUCUACAAAUUGAAAACUUAGAUAAUUCUUAUUCUAACUUAUCACUGAAGUUAGCAGUACAUGCAGAAGGUUGAGGGUAUUACAGACUUUUGUCUAUAAUACAUAGGCAUCUGCAAGAUUUUCUUACAGGAUAAUAAUACAAAAUACGACCACAUGUGCAUUUGAAAUAUGCUUUUUAUGCAAGAUGUUUUUACAGGACAAUUUUACUAGAAGGAAGGACAAUAGUAGAAGCAUUUUGGCCAAAAGUAGUGGCAUUCUUUACUUUAGGUAAAAUAAUACAAUUAGUGGACAACUGAUUUUUUGGCGCAGAUGCAAGCUUGUGAUGUGGGUCAUAAUUCAAGUUUGCAUCAUCAGAGUUGGAAUCCAUAUUCAAAUCUUUCGGGCUAGUGCUUUAUCCUAGUCGAAUAUGAAAAUUCAACUAUUGAUUGUUAGAGCUGGCCUAAGUGACCACACGCCAGGUUUGUGGUUUGGACACCACCUGGCUAGAUUGAUUAUUUGAUGAGGACAAGUGGCCAAAGUCGAGUUUGAGUUUAGAACCAAUGUCUUCGUAAUCUUAUGGAUCUUGAGAGAACUCCAUAGGGUCUAGAUGAUUCCCUCUAUAUACUGCCAAAGAUUGCUAGAUGGCUUUUAUAGUAGGCUUGUAUGCUUGGGAAUAAUCCCACAAAACCUUUUCUUGAUAUGCAUAGGGGUAUAUGGAUUAUGGAAGAGUAUGAUUCUUUUGGUAGAACACUCUUUGGAUCUCCAUGUAUUUGUUUGGAAGGUCUACAAUACUGCAUCCAAAAGAUUAUGGACAUUUGAUUUAUGGAAUUUUAUAUUGGACCGAAUAGAUAUAACAUAUUUCAUCAUAAGCAUGUAACAUCCAUGGCUUGUGGAAAAUGAUGGUUUUGUGGACCUCAUGAUCUGGAUCGAUAUAACAUAUUUCAUCAUAAGCGUGUAACAUCCAUGGCUUGUGGAAAAUGAUGGUUUUGUGGACCUCAUGAUCUGGAUCGAUAUCCAACUCUUUGAUAAACAAUUGCUUCCAAUAAAUCAAAGGGCGAAACUGUUCAAGAAAUUUUGCAAAAUGCUGGAGGUUAUGCUGCUGAUAUCCUCCAUCCAUGAAGUCUUCAACAAUCCAUGGCAUUCUUGCAAUGGGAGACUCAAUAGCAACGGUGUGUUAUUGUAAACAUACCAAUAAAAUCUUUAUGUUCUUUUGGAAAUUUUGACCAAAUGAGAAUACAUGGAUAAAUGGAUAUAUGUGAUGCAUGCCACUAGGUCUCAGGUUUAGGCAUUUACAUUGUCUAAAAAUCUUGUGCUGGCAUUCUCACGUAAGUUUUAUACAACCAUUCAAGGAUCAUUCUCUAGGGAUAAGUUUGUGGUUUCUACCUGUGUGAUUUGGAGUAUUAAUAUUAUAUGAUAGGUUUUUGAACCUCUUGCUUCUUGGUAUACUUCUCUGGAUUUCCCAGUGUGGUUCUAUAGAUGAUGUAAACAUGUGUAAUGGAGGAGCUUCUUAGAUUUGGAAAGGUCUGCAAGAACAUUCUUUUCCCCUUCGAUGUAUUUUGUUUCGAAUGAGUACUUUGAAAACUAUUCUGGCCAUGUAACAACUAAGCCUAUGAAAAAUGUCUUUUGUUUGAACUUAUCAUAUAUGUGGAAAGGAAGACAUAUCCAUUUUGCAAGUCAUGAAUGUUAUAAACUUAUGAGAGAUAUUUUAUGUCUAUCCACAUUGGAAUUCCACAGCUCAUAUUUCUAUAUUUUCUUGUGAAUGUGUAUAAAUCUUUUGAAUGCAGUAUUAGAGACCUUCCUAAAGAAGAGUUUUUUUUUUUUUUUUUUUUGAAACGAAUGAUAUUGUUUCAAAAUCCAUAUGAUUUGGGCAUAUUAAGAAGAGGUUUCCAUGGGAUUACACCCAAACAUACAAACCUAUUAGAGGAGCCAUCUAGCUAGCUUCAAUAGGAUACAAAAUGCAUAAGGAAUCAACCAAAUCAUAUGAAGUUCUCUCAAGACUCAUGAGAUUAUGGAGACACUAGCAUUGAUCUCAAACACUUGAAUUUGAUCGAUUGGUCUCACCAAUGAUCAAUCCAAUCAAGUGAUGUCCAUCCCUUAGAUCGAGCACAUGGUCACUUGAGCCUAGCUUCAACAAUCAACAAUUGGAUCUUAUCUUCGACUAAGACAAAGGACCACCCUCAUUGAUAUGGAUUCCAGCCAAAAUGAUGCAUACUCAAAUCUCAACCCACGCCAUAAGCCCUUCAACAAGCAUCUACUUUUAUAAGGUAGUCUGUCCACUAGUUGUAUUGUUAACGGUAGCCGCUACUUUUGGUUAGAGUGCUUUUAUUAUAGCCCGUCUAGUUAGUAAAAUUGUCAUGUAAAAGCAUCUUGUAAAUACAUUUGUGAUCAUAUUUUGUUUAUUGUCCUGUAAAAGCAUCUUGCGUAUGCUUAUGUAUUUUAUGCAAGCUUCUAUGAUGCCUCAACCUUUUAUAUGUAAGGCUAACUUUUGCGAAAAGUUGGAAUAAAAGUUGGCUGAGGCCAAGUUUGAUAACUAGCCACAUAGUAACUAUUUCUAUAUUUUUGUUCUUUGGAAAAAAAAAAAAUCUGUUUAGUAAGGUUUUUAUUCCUGAGAAUAGAUUUGGAACAGAAUUAACAAGUAAAAAAAAUUACUUCUUUGUUCUUGAGAACAACUCCAAAGUUAAAAUCUUUUUUUUCUAUUUUUUCUCUUUCCUCUUCUUCCUUUUUCUUUUCUUCUUUCCCUUUUCUUCUUCUUCUUCUUUCUCUUGCUAGCCACCGACCUUGCCCAUGGCUGGCAAUCGGCCAGGCGAGGGUCGAUGACCGCGCCGGAGCUUUGCUGGCCCACGACAAGGCCAAGCUAGCCUAGUGGCCAACUUCGUGGCGGCCUGGCGAGGUCAAGUCUUGCUAGGGGACGAUAAUGCUCCGACAAGGUUGCCAACCAUGGCCAAGGCUAGCAAUUGGCUAGAGGAAGAAGAAGAAAUGGAAAAAAGAGAAAAAUGUAAUAAAAUUAUUAAAAACUUAUCACAAAAGAAUUAAGGGUCGUACCAAAAGUAUUUCUAUAUCGGGAGUAAAAAUUUUAGGCAAUUAUCAAACAUCUUUAAUUACUUAGAAACUCAUAUAAGGAAUAGAAAUUAAAAAAAAAAAGAAGCAUUUUUUAUUACAAAUUGUUCCCGAUAAAAAGAAUAGCUAUCAAACGCACUCUAAGUUUUUUUGUCUAUCAAAGUAUAAGAGGUUCGUGUGCUUUAUGGUAAAGGUUAAUGGCGUCUAGAAACGAAAAUGCUGUCCAUUUGAAAGGCUACAUGCUGCAUGACAUGGCACAUUGGUAAAUUACGGUUGAUUGCGGAUCCUACCAUGUUGAAAUUUAUCUUUAUUAAGAUUUGUUCAGUAGAUCCAAACUGUCUUUUUCAUGAAUUUCUUUGAGCCAUGCCAUGGGUAUUUUAUCUUUUCAUCGUGGUAGACGUUGGGCCAACAAUUGAUAUUUUUGCACCUCGAGUUAUAAAUUAAUUGUGUUAAAUUUAUACCUACUCCAAAUACAACAUGUUUGUUAAUACUAUCAUGUCUUUGAAUACCAAACACAAGUUUAGUAUAAAGUUACUACAUUUAUUUGGACGUCUAUUCACAUAUCUAAAUGUAUCCAAAUAAAUUGUUUGUUAACACGACUUGCAUGUUAACCUAUUUGGUUAAAUGUGUUCAAGCAUGUUAAAUUGAAAUGGUUAUCAAAGUUGCGAAAGAUACAUGAUUUUUCUUGUAUAGAUGGGUUUAUCAUAAAAAUCUCAUACUCAUAAAAAAAAAAAAAAAAAAGGAGUCGUCCCUUAAUCUGCAAUUAAGCAUAUGUCAUUUGAAUUUUACUCAUUUAUUUUAUAUCAAAUAGAUAUUUAACAGGAAAAAACUAUUGUAAAUUUUAAAAAAAUUAUGAAAAAUUCGUGUUUGGUUCUAGGUGUUUUAAAUUGUAUAUAUUGAUAGGUUUCAAGUUUUUCACAUUGAACUAAAUGGAUAAAUGUGCUAACAAUUAUAAAAUUUGUUGUGAAAGUAUAAUUGAGUAUUAAAAAUUUUAAAAAAUACAAUAAAGUAGUUGCCCAAAUGGUCCAAUUUGAUUAACAGAAAAUGCUAACAUGACAUUGUUGCAUUUUUCAUUAACAUGAUGGUGACGUAGGAAAGACAAACUAAUUAAAAAAAAAAGGCGUGAUUUGUUAGCGAAAUUGGAGGGAGCUAACAAAGAUUAAGCACACCAAUUUGAUGAUUUUUGGAAUUCGAUUGCACUUUCAAAAAAAAAAUAAGGAUUCAACUGUACUUAACCAUAAAUUUUAGGGUUUCUAGUAUACUUUAUUUCCAAGUAAAUAUCUAAUUGUGUGGUCUGCCCUUUGACAAAUUAGAAGUGGAAGUCCUCCAAGGGGCCUAAUCUUCGCAUUUCUUCUUAGUAAUAAAUAAUAUUUAUAGCUCUUCUAGGAACAUUUAAUUGCUUAAAAUUGGCAAGCAUUGUCUCUCAUAAUAAGGAAAAAACUUCAACCAGUUGUAAAUUAAUGUUGUCCUUAGUUGAGCAUGUCAAUCCGAAUUUUCCUAGAGGGUUUUGUCAAAUUCUCACUAAAUUCAUGUAGAGAAACUAAAUUUUUAUCAAAGAAAUUAAAUAUGAAUGUAAUCACAAGGUAUUUUAAUCGGGUGUACAUAACAACUAUUGGGCAAAAUCGAUGUACAGGUCGCAAUCACGUCGGGGGAUGCGAGGUACAUGGACAUAGUGAGACGGGCACAACUCGGAAUCAAGCUCCCGAACGUCGUGUGCAUCGACGCGAAGGGGAUGCCACUCAAUGACGACCACCUUCACCUCACCACUCAUGCCCAGGUCCGCCUCGGCCACAUGCUGGCCGAUGCGUACCUCCAGCACUUCACACCAUAGCCCCACCCUAAAAGAAGAAGAAGAAGAAACCACAAAACAACCUCUUCUCUCGCGCUGGCUCCUCUUUCAUGUAAUAAUGUCAAAAGUUCCAUCCUCCCGUCCUUUCAAGGCAGGCUGGGUGAGGUUUGUUCCGAGGGGUGAUUCCAAGUGUGCCUGCUUUUGAUUCGCCAUACAAUUGAGUGUAAGAAAUUCCAAGUAGUUCUCUUUUCUUCUUCUUUUUCUUUUUCUUUUUUUUUUUAAUUUAUGAGGUUGGUUCUCAUUUUAUUCUUGACGCACUCAUCUCAUUUACAAUCAGUAAAAUAAAUAAAUAAAAUUCAAAAAAUAAUAAUAAGGGUUAAUACCCUGAAAAACGUCAAACUAAUACACUUGUGACAAAUUUAUCCCAAAUUAUUUUUUUGACUUCUAAAAAUCCAAAAUUGGUAUAUCUUUAACAAAUUUACUCAAAACUAGUACAUUUGUGAAAAAUUUACUCUUUGUUAGUUUUUGUUAAAUUUUACAGUCAAAUUAUUAAGUUAGCAGAAGGUAUAUUUGUUACAUAUUUACUAAUUGGAGAUUUUUUGCGGUCGAAUAAAUUAAUUUAGAGUAAAUUUGUCAUAAAUGUACCAAUUUAAGGUUUUUUUAUAGUUAGUCGAAGUAAAUUUGUCAUAAGUAUAUAUGUUUGGGGUUUUUGGAGGUAAAAAGAAUAAUUUUUGAUAAAUUUGUCAUAAGUGUAUGAAGUUUUUUAGGAUAUUAAUCCUAAUAAUAAUAGAGAGAGAGAGAGAGAUAUGGCCUUUUGCAUAAGAAAGCAAAUUAGACAUUCCAUUCCUCUCACCUACUUCUGGGGUCCACUGUCAAGUUGGACAGUGGCCCAUCAUGCGGCCCGAGGCGCGUCAUCCGGCUUUUUGCGCGGCCCAUGCAUUGCGAUUUUCGAUUGCUUUGAGAGGGGGAAAGAGGAUCAAACGAGUUCAACCGAAAUUGUCCGAAGGGUAAAAUCGUAACUUUGUCCGAAGAUCUGCGUUUCUAUUUUUGGACAAUGCAAACGAUGACAUUUAAUAAAAUAUUUUUUUAAUCAUUUAUUUCUGCGCGACAAAAGUUUUCAAUAAAAUAAUUUCUUGUACCGCGUGUAAAAAUGAAUGAAUUAAAAAGAUUUCAAUCAUCUAGUUUGAAUAUAAAUUAUUGUCGAUAAUGAAAAUAUUUUUUAUUGAUUAAUAUUUCAAGCAAAGAAUCGAUUAUUUUAUAGGAAAAUAUUUUUGAAAUGAUUUGUUUUCCGUAAUUUCAUGAGAACUCCAUAGAGCCUAGUUGAUUCUUUUUGUAUAUAUAUGCACGAUUGCAGUCCUGCUGCCCAGUUCAAGGAUUUGAAGACUCCAAGAAUGCAAUGACUGAUGAGUACGUUAUAUGGAUACAGAAGGCUUGCGUACUUUGGAGCUGCUCUUUGUUCCCCUAGCCAUCACAGGACUUGCAGUCAAGCCUUCCUUCUCAUGUUCUAAUGCUGUUUUUAAUGCUUGCAAGACCUCUUCAAGGCACUUCAUUCACUGUAGGCUUUGCGACUGAUCAAACUGUUAAUGCCACACUACGAGGUCUUUGUCAAGACUUUAUUCCGAUUCAACUAAGAGAAACUUUCAUUCUUUACUUAAAGCAGAAGGAGCCACUUUAUGAAAAUUACAUGCAAAGAACCGAUGCUUUAUCUAUUUCCAGGGACAUCAAAACAGACGAACACAGAUUACUUCUUUCCCAUGUUUUCUGACAAGCAUAAAGUUAAAUCUGAGGGGCAAACGACAAUAGCUGUUUCCUAAGACAAAAUACUAUCUAAGCAAAUCCCUGUCUCCUUUCCUUUUCCUGAGUAAAACCAAUGACUAACCAUGAGACUUGAAAAGAGUGGCCAAAGGAAAUGAUGCGAGGGACAGGAGCAGAAGACACGGUUGUUUGUACGUUUGGCCUGCUCAAUUCUCAUGCACCAACCCCAUUCUUCUGACCCACUGGCUUCUCCUCAUUUGCAUCUUCUGUCUCAGCAACACAAUGUGAAGUGAACCUCAUGAGCUUUUACCUGACGGAAGCCAUCCAAUGCUUCACUCCAAAAGCCGAACCAAAUGACGCCUAAGUCCUCUCCCUCAGCUGAUCGCAUUAGAGAGUUAUAAUUAUCUUGUUAGCUCAAUAAGAAGAGAUAAUUAUGAUAUGCUCUCCAUUUGUCACUUCAUGGAUAAGAAAGUUUCUAAUUCUUGAGUGCCUUAUGGUACACAUUAAUGACAUCUAAAGAUUAAAAGGCGACCUUUGAAAAGCCAAGAGAAGAUCUUAUUUGUGGAAUAGCAUAUUCGUCUCAGAUAAUCAUCAGUUAUCAUACUCUUCUCAUUAGGUAAUGUAUGACCAUUGCUCACAUUUGUUAAUUAUGUGAAUCCUAUUAUCAUGCCCACGUGAUUACGGUAGAAAUAAAUUUUAGAUUUGUAUAAUUUACUUUCUUUUCUCUAACAUUACAUAAUCAAGAAUUAGGUAAUGUACGAUCAUUGCUCACAUUCGUUAAUCAUGUGAAUUCUAUCAUCAUGAUCACGUGAUUACGAUUCAAAUAAAUUUUAGAUUGGUAUAGUUUACUUUCUUUUCUCCAACAUUACCAACAUUACAGAAUCAAGAAAACCACUCUUUUUCUUUUCUUUUCUUUUCACUUGGCGGUUUUUUCACUCAUUAUGUUGCCUACUGAGGGCCCCACCCCACACCUCGGUAUAACCAUGAGCUAAAGAACUACCAUCACCAAUUCAAAAAAUUACAAGCAUGAGAUCGAUAAAAACAAGGGCCAUGUCGAAAAGAAUGAGAUUUAUGACACGUUUAGCUGCAAUAGUGUCACUCUAUUACAAAUUUAUUGCAGAUUGACUGCCUAUUAAAGUGCUUUUCGCAGUAAUAAUUAUUAUAACGUAAUUUUUAAGUGGCCGUCCUUUUCUUUCCACUCACUCUACUAAGAAAAAUUUAUUCAUUACUAAAUUUAUUUAUAUUGUUUAAGUGAGAACACCAAUUGUAAAUUUAUAUGAAUUAAUUAGUAAUAUAUUAAAUAAUAGGUAAAAAACUGGUAUAACCGUUACUAAGUUUCUUGAUGAUGCGCAAAUUUUUUAUUGUGUUAAAAAUUAUUGAUACGAUAAUAAUUAGAAAAAUAUUAGUUAAUCACAAAAAUUAUUUCACUCACAUGUUUGUAUCCUUUAAUUUAAAUGGAAACUAAAGACAGGCUGAAUAGACAUAGAUGGCGGCAAGGGAAAGCAGGCUGAGAUCGUCGCGCGCGCUCUUGAUGGGUGCCUCCACGUACCCCCGGCACUGUCUAGGUGGGAAGGGAGAGCGGGCUGGAACGUCGCGCACGUUCUUGAUGAGCACCUCCAUAUACCCCCGGUACGACGGCAGUGCCUUAAUCUCCCUGCCGCCGCCGCCGCCACCGCCACUACCGCCGUCCCCAUCCCUCACCCUCCUUGCCAUGCUCUCGUAUAGGUGCUCCUAUGCUCCCACUCCCGUAUCACCAUUCCCCCGCCUCACAUUGCACUAGCUCCACCCUCCCUCGCAAGCGCACCUCAAAAGUUAACUCAAAAUAUAAAACUUUUUAUUAUAAUUAUAAAUUCACCAUUAGCGUCUUUUACAAUUGAUAUAGGACAACCUCAAUAUCAAUGUUGCCAUGAAGGGGUUCUCAGGCCUCUCCCAUCGGAGGGCGACGCUAAGGCGCUCCAGGGGACGACCUUGUCCUAGCCGUGGUGGCGAGUGAUGCUGCUGUGGCUGGCCAUGUUACUCUAGCCAAAGAAGAUAGAUAUAAAAUCCUCUUAUAACAUCCCGGGCCCCACUGUGUAANNNNNNNNNNNNNNNNNNNNNNNNNNNNNNNNNNNNNNNNNNNNNNNNNNNNNNNNNNNNNNNNNNNNNNNNNNNNNNNNNNNNNNNNNNNNNNNNNNNNUAACCAGUGUAAGGCGUUUCCAAGCCACGAGAGAAAAGACCGUGGCUUAGACGCGUUUUAAAGCCACGAGAGAAAAGACCGUGGAUAAGAUGGCGGUUCGUUCGCACCAGAGCGGAUGACCCAAAGCGGACAAUAUUACACAAUGGGGCCCGGGAUGUUACACCUCUACCAUAAACUUAUAACAUUCAUCGUUGUUACAUGGGCUGAAUGAUUUUUAAAGUAUAUUUAUCCACGCACUUAGAAUCCACCCCUUGAAUCGAACACGACCUGGCCCACCUCUAAAGGACAGCAGGACGAAACUUUGACAUUAUUCUCUCACACCAUGACAUGUAACUACAAAAUUGAUGCCCUCGAGUCUUGCGCGACAAAGCAGGGUCCUUGCAUGAAGGAGGAGAGAACUAGGGGUGUCAAUGGGUCAGGUCGGGUCGGAUUUUGUUGUUACCCGACCCGACCUGAAACACAAUCGGUCACAUACUAUGACCCGACCCGAACCGACCCGAAACACAUUAAAUGGUCUAAUGUGUUUCGGGUCGGUUCGGAUCAGGUUAUUGGGUUUCUUGCUUCUUCUUUUUUUUUUUCUUUCUUUCUUUUCUUUGGGGUUUGGGUUAAAACUCUGCAGCAAUCAUCCCAUCCUGAUCCCAUUCUUAUGCAAACAGGUUAUUACAAGAACCUGAUUUUAACAUCAAUUCUUGCGAGUGAUCAAUCUAAGUCUUUUUAACUGAUAAAAACUCAAUAGCAGAGCACCAAGUAGAAGAACAGAGAGCAGCGAAGAAAAAAUCCCAAGAAACCUAAAGCUUUGGCACUUCAACCUGUUGGGCAGGUUCCAUAUCCAAAAUAAAACUGAGUUUUUUUUUAUCAAACUCACCCAUAAGACCACUGCAAAUUCCUUUUCGAUUCUCAUGAUUUAUGAAGAGACAAUUACAUUUUGCGAUAGUAAGGAUCAUUCCAGUAACACCUACCCAACUGGCCACAUUAAUGAAGUGCUGAAUUGCAGAAUUCAACUUAAGUUCAUGAAAGACCAGCUACAUAGGACUAGCGAGCCGCUACUCGUGCUCCACUCUAGAUACUCCAAAGAAACAUACCAACCUAAUACUGCAGUGAUGAAGCUGCUUCAUGCUAAUCCACAUUGUUCAAUUGCUUUUUCUUUCUCAAAGGUCGCAAAGUACUGAUAAAUGAUGGUGACGGUGAGAAGAAUCCCAGUCCAAAGGCAGACUUGACAGACAUUUUUCAACUUGCAAGAAUUCCGGCAAAUUUCAGUUUUCUUGCAUCUAGCAUAUGCACCUGUUCUGUAUACAAAGUAACGAGCGAUUGAAUCAAAAAUUGGUAAAAUAGAGCACGCCAGUGACAAUUACCCAUGCCCUUAUCGCCAACAAUGACAAGCUUGAAGCCCGGGUGAUUGAACAUCUGCUGAUUCGACAAAGCCUGAAAGAGACGCAAGGGAAACAACAACAAUUAAAACAACAAACCAAAUGAGAUAAAAAAAAAUUCAAACUUUGCGAUCACGUAACCAGACCGCUCAGCUCCAGAACCCCAAAAGAAACAGCAUCUGACCAGGACCCAAAAGCUCGAGCAGAAUCACAAAAAGAAUAGAGAUUCAAGAAGACCCAGCAACAACAGAACACGAGCUAUUGAUAUAAGAAUGGACGUGCAGAAAAUGGAACGAUGAAAAGGAAAGAAUGGACUGUCAGCGAGCGAAACUUACUGAGAAUGGACUGAUUCUAAUACCAAAACCAAUGAACCCAAAGAAAAUUCAAUCACUCAAGAUAAACAGAGACCCAAGCAGCAUCACCUAUACCGUUGGUCCAACCGAAGUCUCCCACAGGAAUACAAGGCAAGAAGCCAAUUUCCACUUAAAACCCACCACAUUAUCCGCAAAAAACGAAAGCCACAUUCCAAUUUAAACGAACAACAAGUGCCCAAAACACCCAUCCUUUGCCACAAGAGAAAAAAGGAGGGGGGCAAAAAACGCAUUUACCACGUCGUGUCGGUGGGGGACUUCCGGACGGCGAGGCGGGUCCAGGCGACGACCUUCUCGGAGGGCAAGUCCCUGGCCUCGACGAGCGUCGAGACGAUCCUGAUGAGCUGGACGGAGUUAGUGAGCUCCUUCCUCCACUGGAUCUCCUGGGGCCUCGGGUACGCGGCUGCCUGGAGGGAGCACCUCUGCCGGGCGUUGUGGGUCGGCGCGAACGAGAGGAGGCGCGAGUUCGAAGAAGACCCGGAAGGGAUUUGGGAAGGGGAAGGAGAGGGGUUUUCGGCGACGGACGACGACGAUCGACUGAUUCGGCGGCGGCUAGGGUUCUGGCGUUGAGACGAGGGGUGGCGACGACGACGGAGAGGCGGAGGCGCGUCGAUCGGAGGGCAGCAGCGGAAUCCACGAGAAGGCGCAGUCGUCGGAGAAGCAGCCGAAGGGGAGGGUUUUCACUUUUCAGCGACGUGUUUGAGUGUUUGUGUUUGGUUGGCUUGUUUGGAACAGGUGUUAACGUGUUUCGGGUCUGAACAAUGUUCCAACACUGACCCGACCCGAAACAUAUUUUGUUACUUGUUUUAUGCCUGUUACCCAAACAAUUUUAAGACCGGAAACACAUACUCAACUUGUUUCGUGUUCAGGUCGUGUUCGGAUCGGGUCGGGUCGGGUCGGAUUUUUUUGACACCCCUAGAGAGAACACGAGGGGGGCCUAUGGCAUGAAAUACUGGAGGUAUGCGUCGGCUCUCGAGUGAUUGAGGCAGACUUGGGCAUAAGUGGCGAGUUGAAGUGGUCAUCCAUGAAUGGCAGCUCCUUCACGUCGACGCACACGACGCUCGAGAGCUUGAUUCCAAGCUGUGCAUGUCUCACUCUAUCCAUGUACCUCCCGCCCCCCGACGUGAUUGCGACUUGUACAUCAUUUGAUUUCGAGUAAUAGUUAUUACACAUGCGCCGAUUAAAAGAACUUAUGAGUACCUUUAUAUGUAAUUUCUUAGAUAAAAAUAUAGAUUCUCUAUGUGAAUUUUACGAGAAUUUGGCAAACUCUCUAGGCGAAUACGGAUUGACAUACCCAAUUAAGGAUAAUAUUAUUUACAAAUUGGUUGAAGUUUCUUCUUAUUAUGAGAGAACAUGCUUGCGAAUUGUAAAGCAAUUAAACGUUCAUCAAAUGUUAUGGAGACUAGACCUUAUAGAGAGUGCUUUCAAGACCCAUGGGAUUAUGGAGACGCUCUAAUCUCAAACUCUUGACUUCGGCCUAUUGGCCCCAUCAAAAAAUCAAUUCAAACGUCCAAUUUAUUCACUUGGGCCGAGCUCCAACAAUCAACAACCGGAUCUUAAUUUUGGACGUGACAAAGCAUCAGCUUAGAAGAUUUGAAUAUGGAUUCCAACUCUGAUGAUGCAGGCCCGAAUCUUGACCCACAGCGUGAGCUCGCUUUCACUGUAAUAAACUAGUCUGUCCCCCUACUUGUACUAUUGUACGUUUAGUAACAAUGGCCACUGCUUUUUGGCCCGAAAUGUUUCAAUUAUUGUCUGAAGUACGAUCUUUUUUAGUGUUAUCAUCCAGUAAAGCAUCUUGUACAUGCCUAUGCCUAUGCCUAUGUAUUACACGCAAAAAGUUUAUAAUGCCCUCAGCCUUUUCAAUGUAAGGCUAAUUUCGAUGAGAAGUUGGAAUAAGAGUUGUCUUAAGUUUUAUAUCUAUAUACCCUCUCCCGCAGUAUUCUAAACGCUCUUAUCCCUCCCCCAGUGGAUUGCAUUAGAGAGUCAUAAUUAUCUUGUCAGUUCAAUAAGAAGAGAUAAUGAUAGAAUGCAGUGUCUAAUUAUUGAAUGCCUUAUGGUAUACUUUAAUGAUGUCGAGAGAUUAAAAGACAGUCCUGUGAAAAGUCGAGAGAGGGUCUUAUUUAUAACUAAAAUAUAAGGAAAAUGAGCCACGAAGAUCCUUUUGAAGUAAAACAGCAACUGCUUUUUCCCUUUUUUUCAGUGUGUGACCUGGCUUUCACGUGAAGCUUCGCCUGACGGAAGCAAUGCUCAGGCCAGAGAUCAGCACAGGCGCACGACCCCACACGUGCCAGAAUCCUACAGGAACUCCUCCAAAAUAAAGAUAAAUAAAUAAACAAAAUAUAAAUUAAAAACUUGGGGAUAAAAAUAAAUAAAUAAAGCUGCCCCUUUCUCAUCCUCCUCCGUCUUCUUCCAUUUUUGUUAGCCAAUCGUCGAUCGAGUCCUCCAAACCCCCAACAAAUCCCCCCUUCCAUGGCCGCCGCCGCCUCCGCCCCGGCGCAACCCCCGGCGCCGCCGCCUCCCCCGCCGCCCGCCAAGCACAUCUUCAUCCUCUCCGGCCAGAGCAACAUGUCCGGCUACGGCGGCGUCACCCGCCACCACGGCUGGGACGGGGUCGUCUCCCCGGAGUGCCGCCCCGACCCCUCCGUCCUCCGCCUCAGCGCCGACCUCCGGUGGGAGGAGGCCCGGGAACCCCUCCACCGCGACAUCGGCACCCGGAAGGCCUGCGGCGUGGGCCCGGGGAUGGCCUUCGCGAACGCGGUGAGGGAGCGCGGCGGGGUCGCGGGGAUGGCGGUGGGCCUGGUGCCGUGCGCGGUGGGGGGGACGGCGAUCCGGGAGUGGGCCCGCGGGGAGGAGCUGUACGAGAGCAUGGUGAGGAGGGCGAGGGCGAGCGUGAGGGACGGCGGCGGCGAGAUCAAGGCGCUGCUGUGGUACCAAGGCGAGAGCGACACCUCCACGCAGCACGACGCGGAGGCGUACGGGGAGAAGAUGGAUGCGCUCAUCAAGAACGUGCGCGACGAUCUCGGCCUGCCCUCCCUUCCCGUCAUCCAGGUGAGUUCCGUCUCCGUCGUCCACUCCGCUGAGCUUUUUCGAUCGCC